rnacentral:piRNA from 1 species
GGCAGACUCUCAGGACUGUCCUACC